CCUACGGGUGGCAGCAGUGGGGAAUAUUGCGCAAUGGGCGAAAGCCUGACGCAGCGACGCCGCGUGAGGGAUGAAGGUCUUCUGAUCGGAAACCUCCGUCAGCAGGGAAGUACGGUCACUGUGCUAAUCAGCAUUGCAUUUACGGUACCAGCAAAGGAAGGACAGGCUAACUCCGUGCCAGCAGCCGCUGUAAUACGGAGGAUGCGUGCGUUAAUCGGAAUUACUGGGCGUAAAGGGCGCGUAGGCGGUAUGUCAAGUCAAGGGUGAAAUCCCGGCGCUCAACGUGUGAACUGCCUUUGAAACUGGAAAACUUGAGUGUGUGAGAGGAUGGUGGAAUGCGAGGUGUAGGGGUGAAAUGCGUAGAUAUCUGGAGGAACAUCAGUUGCGAAGGCUACUAUCU
rnacentral:rRNA from 1 species